AUGCCCAGUCGUAAAAUAUUAACUUACGCACAAAAACGCCCGGGAACUACGAGCUCUAGCUUAAAACCCAAAGGACUUGACGGUGUCCCACCCAACUAGAGGAGCCUGUCCUAUAAUCGAUGGUCCCCGAUAUACCCAACCUUUUCUUGCUCAUCAGUCUGUAUACCUCCGUCGCAAAUCUACCAUAUGAAUGAUAUAUAGUUCGGUUCAAUGAUCACUUCAUCAGAACGUCAGGUCAAGGUGCAACCUAUGAAAAGGCAAGUGAUGGGCUACAAUUUCUAACCUAGAACAAACGAAAUACUGCAUGAAACACAGGAACGAAGGAGGAUUUAGAAGUAAAGAGAAAAUAACGUGUUCUCUUUAACAUGGCCCUGGGACAUGUACACACCGCCCGUCGCCCUCUUCGAUACGAAUACUUCAGUUUUUAACCUAACAACAUAUGAGAGAAGAGGUAAGUCGUAACAUGGUAAGUGUACUGGAAAGUGCACUUGGAAUAA
rnacentral:rRNA from 1 species